AAGCAUCGAUUUUUUUAAAGCCUGAAAACAGUCACGAGGAGGUGCAGAAGUCUAGUUAUCUCUCAGAGCACUUGAAAUACAAUAUGCUGAAAGGUUAUUAUGGAAUUUUUGCCCAAUGAUGCUUAAAUCUUCUGUUAUGACUGACUUCGGCCAUGUCAACAUCCUCCUUUAAUCAAAACGGAUUUGUGGCAUCCACCAGACCUUCCUGCUAUUCAUGUGUUAUUACCUAACACUUCUUCUUAUUGAAAAGAAAUGUUUUUUUGAUCUCAUUCCCUAAAUCCUGUGCACAUUAACUUACAUGCACUCACUUGAAAUCCUUAUAAUGCAGACAUACAGUGAAAUGAAAAAAGAGAAACAUGGAAAGGGUUUUGUAUUGUAAAUUAUUACAAUCUGUCUUAAAAGUGUCUGUCUCUUUGGGAUAACUUUAGUAUAACUGCAUAAUGUUUCCUUGAGAUCUGUGGUCACUUUUUUUUUUAGCAAAGCUGACAAACUUAUCCAGCGAAAAAAGUGUAAAGUAAUAAUAAUAGUAAUGCCUACAUUCCACUGAGGUGUCUCACUGCCAUCGAUAAGGUUAAUGGUUAUUAAUUACAUAUUUUAAAACCAAGUCUUAUCACCUCUCUUUGCAUGUGAGGAUGUGGUGUGUGUGUGCAUGCAUGCAUGUGCAUAGAAUUCUCAGAUGGUUUCAUUAUAAUAACUGUUUGAGGCUCAAAGAAGUCAAAGUAUCCAAUAUUCAUUAAAAAAAAAAAAAAAAAAAAAACGAAUACAGAUUUGUAACAGAACUUGUUUUUUUCUUCUCUCCCAUUAAUCAUUUCUCACCCCCUGCAGUUUCUAACCUAGUUAACUAGCUGUAUAUAAAACAGUUAAAACUAGCUCCACAUUGACCAGCCACAACAGUAAAAUGCUGCUUACACAUUAUUUCAUCGGUAUUAACAAUCUAAUAAUGUCAUAUAUAAUAAUAGAUAUAUCAUACAUGGAAGGGGCACAAGUUUUACCGUUGAUAGUACAUCUUGAUGAUUAUAUUUCUGUUGUUUUAUUCAAGUACGAUUUUAAAUGCUGGACUUUUACUUAUACUAAUACUACUAAUAUACUAAUUAUACUAAUUGAGUAUUUUUACAUGGUUUUGGUACUUGCAGUGGCAUUUGGUCUGGAUCCCCAAAUAAGCCACAAACAAACUGUAAGCACAGUAACUUCAGUCUGCCACGAAUGUGAGGAGAUGUUAUCCAGUUUAAAAACGUUUACUGAUAAAAGUUUUAUGUUACAUUGUGUCACACGGUAGAAAACUAUGUGCUCCAGUGCCCAACGCAGCUCUCUUCCCUACUGUUCUGCACAUAUCACUCACUAUAUUCACAACAUUCAAUAUACAUGCAUUUGUCUUUUUUAUACAUUACCUUUGUCUGAUACAAUGACUAGAAAUUAUGGAUUUUGCACGUUAUGUUUACACAUUGUGGAUACUUUUACUUAAAUAACAAAUCUGAGGACUUCCUCCACCACUCAGUUAAAGGUAUAAAUGUCUGUCUGCUGCUGUUCUGUGUGUGUGUGUAUUUGAUUCCAACAAGGGAUAAUUAAUAAAUAAAGAAGAUAAUAAACUUCUUAUUUAAGUUUUUGUUACUACGGUGACACUGACUCUUCAUUAUAGAGAACCUGCUGAAAGACAUCAGCUGUCAUUCCAAUGUUUCACCACAAGAUGGAAACAAAAGAUCAGAGAAAAAUGCCACCCGAGUUGAGUUAUUCUCUGCUUUGUCAUGAGGAACCUAACAUUAUCAUCAUUAUCAAUAUUAUCAUUAAUAGUAGUAGUAUCAGUAGUAGUACUACUAUCAUUUCAUACAAAUUACAAGCACUCUUGGUUUGAUUAAAGUGUCUGUUUUCCAGUACCUUUCAACGCUUGCUGUUUUUGCUGUUUCUGAAUGAAUUGCGUUAAUGAGAAAUAAUAGAAAUUACUUGAUGUUUUAUCCUUUUGUAAAUAUUAUUUCAUGUUUUGUAUUUGUUUGAUUGUUUGUUUUUUCAUUUGGCUAUGUUUGGGUCAAGUAACUGAACAGAAAGAACAUGUACGGGGCGUUACCUGUAAGCCCUUUUUUUCAUAUAUAAAUCAAAGCUUUGUCAUUAAACCGCUGACCUUCCCGAAGGAGUUGGCAGGAUUACUUUUUGAA